AGUGAACGCUGGCGGUAGGCCUAACACAUGCAAGUCGAACGGCAGCACAGUAAGAGCUUGCUCUUACGGGUGGCGAGUGGCGGACGGGUGAGGAAUACAUCGGAAUCUACUUUUUCGUGGGGGAUAACGUAGGGAAACUUACGCUAAUACCGCAUACGACCUACGGGUGAAAGCAGGGGAUCUUCGGACCUUGCGCGAUUGAAUGAGCCGAUGUCGGAUUAGCUAGUUGGCGGGGUAAAGGCCCACCAAGGCGACGAUCCGUAGCUGGUGUGAGAGGAUGAUCAGCCACACUGGAACUGAGACACGGCCCAGACUCCUACGGGAGGCAGCAGUGGGGAAUAUUGGACAAUGGGCGCAAGCCUGAUCCAGCCAUACCGCGUGGGUGAAGAAGGCCUUCGGGUUGUAAAGCCCUUUUGUUGGGAAAGAAAAGCAGCAGGUUAAUACCCCGCUGUUCUGACGGUACCCAAAGAAUAAGCACCGGCUAACUUCGUG
rnacentral:rRNA from 1 species